rnacentral:pre_miRNA from 1 species
AAAGUACUCCCUCCGUCCCAAAAUUCUUGUCUUAGAUUUGUCUAGAUACAGAUGUAUCAAGUCACAUUUUAGUAUUAGAUACAUCCGUAUAUAGACAAAUCUAAGACAAGAAAUUUGGGACAGAGGGAGUAGUUG